AACGAACGCUGGCGGCAUGCCUAACACAUGCAAGUCGAACGAGACCUUCGGGUCUAGUGGCGCACGGGUGCGUAACGCGUGGGAAUCUGCCCUUCGGUUGGGAAUAACUGAGAGAAAUUUCAGCUAAUACCUUAUAAUGUCUUCGGACCAAAGAUUUAUCGCCGAGGGAUGAGCCCGCGUAGGAUUAGGUAGUUGGUGGGGUAAUGGCCUACCAAGCCGACGAUCCUUAGCUGGUCUGAGAGGAUGAUCAGCCACACUGGGACUGAGACACGGCCCAGACUCCUACGGGAGGCAGCAGUGGGGAAUAUUGGACAAUGGGGGAAAGCCUGAUCCAGCAAUGCCGCGUGAGUGAUGAAGGCCUUAGGGUUGUAAAGCUCUUUUACCCGGGAUGAUAAUGACAGUACCGGGAGAAUAAGCGCCGGCUAACUCCGUG
rnacentral:rRNA from 1 species